rnacentral:rRNA from 1 species
AACCUGGUUGAUCCUGCCAGUAGUCAUAUGCUUGUCUCAAAGAUUAAGCCAUGCAUGUCUAAGUAUAAAUAGUAUUCGAUUGAAACUGCGAAUGGCUCAUUAAAACAGUUAUAGUUUAUUUGAUAAUUGAAAAUUACAUGGAUAACCGUGGUAAUUCUAGAGCUAAUACAUGCUGUCAAGCCCGACUUUUUGGAAGGGUUGUAUUUAUUAGACUUAAGCCAAUAUUCCUUGUGUCUAUUGCGGUGAUUCAUAAUAACUGAUCGAAUCUCAUAUGUGAGAUAAAUCAUUCAAGUUUCUGCCCUAUCAGCUUUCGAUGGUAGUGUAUUGGACUACCAUGGCAGUAACGGGUAACGAAGAAUUAGGGUUCGAUUUCGGAGAGGGAGCAUGAGAAACGGCUACCACAUCUAAGGAAGGCAGCAGGCGCGUAAAUUACCCAAUCCUGACUCAGGGAGGUAGUGACAAGAAAUAGCAAACCGGGAGCCUCACGGUUUCACGGUAUUGCAAUGAGAACAAUUUAAAACUCUUAGCGAGGAACAAGUGGAGGACAAGUCUGGUGCCAGCACCCGCGGUAAUUCCAGCUCCACUAGCGUAUAUUAAAGUUGUUGCAGUUAAAAAGCUCGUAGUUGAACUUCCGUAUGGGGCUAGUUUUGGCUUCUGCCUGGCUAGUUCCAUGCAUCCGCUUGCAAGACCUGGAGGGCAUUUACUUGUCGCCAGGAGGAGCAGGCUUUUUACUUUGAAAAAAUUAGAGUGUUUAAGGCAGGCUAUCGCCCGCAUAUAUUAGCAUGGAAUAAUAGAAUAGGACACUUUCCAUUUCGUUGGUUAUUGGAAUCGUGUAAUGAUUAAUAGGGACAGUUGUGGCAUUUGUAUUUAAUUGUCAGAGGUGAAAUUCUUGGAUUUAUUAAAGACAAACUAACGCGAAAGCAUUUGCCAAGGAUGUUUUCAUUAAUCAAGAACGAAAGUUAGGGGAUCAAAGACGAUCAGAUACCGUCCUAGUCUUAACUAUAAACUAUUCCGACUCAAUGUUUGGCUGGCCCCUUUAACCAGCUGAGCGUUGUAUGAGAAAUCAAAGUCUUUAGGUUCUGGGGGGAGUAUGGUUGCAAAGCUGAAACUUAAAGGAAUUGACGGAAGAGCACAACCAGGAGUGGAUUCUGCGGCUUAAUUUGACUCAACACGGGGAAACUUACCAGGUUAAAACAAUAGUGGGAUUGACAGCUUGAGAGCGCUUUCUUGAUUGGUUGGGUGGUGGUGCAUGGCCGUUCUUAGUUGGUGGAGUGAUUUGUCUGCUUAAUUGCGUUAACGAACGAGACCUUAACCUGCUUACUAGACUGGCGAUGAAUAAUCGUCAGCUCUUCUUAGAGGGACUUUGGUUGUUUUAACUCCAAGGAAGUUUGAGGCAAUAACAGGUCUGUGAUGCCCUUAGAUAUCCUGGGCCGCACGCGUCAUACAAUGACUAGUUCAGAAAGUUUCAUCCUGAUCCGGAAGGAGGCUGGGUAAUCUUGUCAGUACUAGUCGUAUUAGGGAUAGAUCUUUGCAAUUAUAGAUCUUGAACGAGGAAUUCCUAGUAAGUGCGGUUCAUCAGACCGUACUGAUUACGUCCCUGCUCUUUGUACACACCGCCC